GGGGAAUAUUGCACAAUGGAGGGAACUCUGAUGCAGCGACGCCGCGUGAGCGAAGAAGGCUUUCGAGUCGUAAAGCUCUGUCCUAGGGGACGAUAAUGACGGUACCCAAGGAGGAAGCCCCGGCUAACUACGUGCCAGCAGCCGCGGUAAUACGUAGGGGGCGAGCGUUGUCCGGAAUUAUUGGGCGUAAAGGGUUCGCAGGCGGCCUAUUAAGUCAGAUGUGAAAUCCCAUGGCUUAACCAUGGUAAGCAUUUGAAACUGGAAGGCUUGAGUUAAGGAGAGGAAAGUGGAAUUCCUAGUGUAGCGGUGAAAUGCGUAGAUAUUAGGAGGAAUACCAGUGGCGAAGGCGACUUUCUGGACUUUAACUGACGCUGAGGAACGAAAGCGUGGGUAGCAAACA
rnacentral:rRNA from 2 species